AACGCUGGUAUACUACGCUACCUGAUGGAUGGCUAGGCUUGGAUGCUGAGGAAGGGCGUGGCAAGCUGCGAAAAGCCUCGGGUAGGCGCAUGCAGCCUUCGAUCCGAGGAUCCCCGAAUGGGACAUCCCAUCAGCUUCGGCUGAUACUCCGUGAGGAGGGGGAACCCCCCGAAUUGAAACAUCUUAGUAGGGGGAGGAAGAGAAACCAACUGGGAUUUCCUCAGUAGCGGCGAGCGAAAGGGAAAAAGCUCAAACUGAACGCUGCGGCGAUGAGCCGCCGCGGAUGUGGUGUAUGGGAUCAGCCUCCUGCUAGUCAGCGAAGUCGAAAUGACCUGGAAAGCUCUGCCAUAGAGGGUGAUAGCCCCGUAGACGCAAGUUGAAAGCGGUUGGGCUGAUUUCCGGAGUAACACGCCUUGAGACUGGCGUGCGAAUCUGGGAGGCAUUAACUUCCAAAGCUAAAUACAAUCCAAGACCGAUAGCGCACUAGUACGGUGACGGAAAGCUGAAAAGUCCCCCGGGAGGGGCGUUAAANNNNNNNNNNNNNNNNNNNNNNNNNNNGUGUGCGGCUAGAAAGGGUAGAACCCUUCUGAAGGAGGUCGUGGUGACAUGACGGUACGCGGAGGGGGGACCAUAGUCGCACGCUCCGUCUAGAAACACGGGCCGGGGAGUUUACCUGCGUGGCGAGCCUAAGGGUUGAAAGCCCGUAAGCGCAGGGAAACCGAAAUGCGAGCAGCCGAAAGGCAAGUCGCUGGGUCUGAAAGGGCCCGGAGUCACGCGGGUAAGACUAGAAACCAGGUGAUCUAGCCCUGGGCAAGGCGAAGUCAGGCGAAAGCCUGAUCGAGGCCUGCAAGGGUGCUGAUAUGCAAUUCGCUCCCCUGACCUGGGGCUAGGGGCAAAAGACCAAUCUAACCUGGAGAUAGCUAGUUCCCUCCGAAGUAUGUCGCAGCAUAGCCUUGGGGGAGGCUGCCGACGGGGUAGAGCACCAAUCGGAAGGCACGGGGUCGAAAGACCUCACCUUCCUUUUGAACUCCGAAUACGUCGGCGCCGUAGAACCCAGGAGACGGGAUACACGGGUUAAGCUCGUGUUCCGAGAGGGGGACAACCCAGACUGUGGUUAAGGUCCCGGAGUGCUGGCUAAGUGACAAACAGAAGAGCGUCUCAAGCCUAAAACAGUGGGGAGGUAGGCUUAGAAGCAGCCAUCCUUUAAAGAAAGCGUAACAGCUCACCCACCGAGGCUUGAGGCCUUAAAGAUGGACGGGUCUUAAGCCAGCCACCGAUACCACAGAGCUGCGUCCUUGAACGCAGUCCGGUAGGAGGGCGUCCCGAUUGGGUAGAAGCAGGGCCGUGAGGUCCUGUGGACCGGUCGGGAUUGCAGAUCCCGGCGGUAGUAACAGCGUAGUCGGGUGAGAAUCCCGAUCGCCGAGAAGGCAAGGGUUUCCCGGCAAUGCGUCGUCAGCCGGGAGUUAGUCGGUCCUAAGGUCAGCUUUAACAUGGCUGAUCGAAUUGGGAAACGGGUUAAUAUUCCCGUACCGUGGAGGUACGCGCGGCGACGCUAAGCCUCAUGUGCGACGCUUCGGGGUAGGUUGAGCAGGAUCGUCGUCCUGUUUAACUGUUCAAGCCUGGGGAGUACCGUAAUGGUGAGAACCAGGCGAAGACAGGAAUAGCCUCCCGUUUAGGGAGGUUCAGCUGAUCCCUGGAGACCUUGAAAAGCACGUGAGGAUGGAUCCUCCACGACCGUACCGAGAACCAACACUGGUGCCUUUGGGUGAGAAGCCUUAGGCGUGUCGGGUGAACGCUAGGCGAGGGAACUCGGCAAAUUAGCCCCGUAUCUUAGGUAUAAGGGGUGCCUACAGCUUUAGCUUAAGCUGGGGCUGUAGGUCGCAGUGACAAGGGGGUCCCGGCUGUUUAAUAAAAACUUAGGUAGCCGCUAGCCCGAAAGGGUGUGUAUGGCUGCUGAAUCCUGUCCAGUGGCGGUACCUUAAACCUGAUUUCAACCGGGCUAAGGGCCGCUAAACGACGGGAGUAACUCUGACUCUCUCAAGGUAGCCAAAUGCCUUGUCGUGUAAGUUACGACGUGCAUGAAUGGAUCCACGAGGACCCCACUGUCCCCGCCUAGAACCCGGUGAACCCACGUAAACUGGACGAACAGUCCAGUGACUCCCAGCGGGAAAAGAAGACCCCGUGGAGCUUUACUGCAGCUUGUCGCUGGGGCGUGGUUGCGUUUGCAGAGUGUAUGUGGGAGCCUAUGAGUACGCCUCUCCGGGGGCGUAGGAGGCGACAAUGGAACACCACACCUUCGUAACUACACCUCUCACCGAGGCCUCGUAGCCCGGAACAACGGCAGGUGGGCAGUUUGGCUGGGGCGGCACCCCCUUGAUAAGGAAUCGAGGGGGCCCAAAGGUCAGCUCAGGCGGGACAGAAACCCGCCGUAGAGGGUAAAGCCAAAAGCUGGCCUGACCGGAUUCUACAAAAUAAGGGAUCCGGAGGCGAAAGCCAGGCUUAACGAGCUAUCAUGUCCUUCUUAAUGAGGGCUGGUAGUGUCAGAAAAGUUACCCCGGGGAUAACAGGCUGGUCGCGGGCGAGAGUCCCCAUCGACCCCGCGGUUCGGUACCUCGAUGUCGGCUCUUCCUAUCCUGGCCUUGCAUGAGGGGCCAAGGGUGAGGCUGCUCGCCUAUUAAAAGGGAACGUGAGCUGGGUUUAGACCGUCGUGAGACAGGUCGGAUUUUAUCUGCUGGGAGUGCAGGCUGUCUGAGGGGAAAGGGUCUUCAGUACGAGAGGAACGAGACGCUGUGGCCUCUGGUCUACCGGUUGUCCGAUAGGGCAUCGCCGGGCAGCUACGCCGCUGCGGAUAAGGGCUGAAAGCAUCUAAGCCUGAAGCCGCUCCCAAAAAAAGACAGCCGUCCCACUCGGAAGGGGCAACCCUCGAGGGUGGGUGAAGGGCUCCCGUAUAAGACGGGUUUGAUGGAGCUGAGGUGUACGCGUCGAGGCUUCGGCCGAGGCGCUCAGCCUGCAGCCCCCAACCGCCCAAAAUAUCAGCCUU
rnacentral:rRNA from 1 species